rnacentral:rRNA from 1 species
CGCAUCUGUGCAUGCAGCAUAUCAAUAAGCGGAGGAAAAGAAACUAACAAGGAUUCCCUUAGUAACGGCGAGUGAAGCGGGAAGAGCUCAAAUUUGAAAUCUUCAAGGUUUUACCUUGACGAAUUGUAGUUUAAAGAAGUGUUUUCUGUUGAAGUUUUGGUAAAAGUUCUUUGGAAUAGGACAUCAUAGAGGGUGAGAAUCCCGUAUUUGACCAUUAUUUUCAGCUGUGUGAUACACUUUCAAAGAGUCGGAUUGUUUGGGAAUGCAGUCCUAAAAUGGGUGGUAAAUUUCAUCUAAAGCUAAAUAUUGGCGAGAGACCGAUAGCGAACAAGUACCGUGAGGGAAAGAUGAAAAGAACUUUGAAAAGAGAGUUAAACAGUACGUGAAAUUGUCAAAAGGGAAGCGUUUGACACCAGUGUUGUUUUCUCGAAAAUCAAUUAAAAAGAGUUAGAUUUUGUUGUGUAUUGACCUUAACAGCUUGCAUUUCAAUUUUCUUGCUUUUUUUAAUGCACUUUUCGUUUAACAAGUCAACAUCAGUUUCUUUGUUGUAAAAAGGUCAUUGGAAGGUGGCUUUCUUUUCGGAGAAAGUGUUUAUAGCCUUUGACUCCUGCAAUCGGAGAGACUGAGGUCUGCAGCGUAGAUCCUUCGGGGUUAGAUACAUUUGUGCUAAGUUAUAGCUUUUUAUAGACAACUUGUUGUACUAUGAUUAGUCUUGUAGCUUACUCGCUUAUGCUAUUUUACCUACGCUUAGGAUGUUGAACUCUAUCACACACAG